ensembl:misc_RNA Metazoa_SRP Metazoan signal recognition particle RNA
GCCAGGCAUGGUGGUGCAUGCCUGUAAUCCCAGCUACUUGGGAGGCUGAGGCAGGAGAAUCACUUGAACCCAGGAGGCGGAGGUUUUGGUGAGCCGAGAUCUCUCCACUACACUCCAGCCUGGGUGACAGAGUGAGACUCUGUCUCAA